rnacentral:rRNA from 1 species
AACGAACGCUGGCGGCAUGCCUAACACAUGCAAGUCGAACGAGACCUUCGGGGCUAGUGGCGCAAGGGUGCGUAACGCGUGGGAACCUGCCCUUAGGUUCGGAAUAACUCCCCGAAAGGGGUGCUAAUACCGGAUAAUGUCUUCGGACCAAAGAUUUAUCGCCUUUGGAUGGGCCCGCGUUGGAUUAGCUAGUUGGUAGGGUAAAAGCCUACCAAGGCGACGAUCCAUAGCUGGUCUGAGAGGAUGAUCAGCCACACUGGGACUGAGACACGGCCCAGACUCCUACGGGGGGCAGCAGUGGGGAAUAUUGGACAAUGAGCGAAAGCGUGAUCCAGCAAUGCCGCGUGAGUGAUGAAGGCCUUAGGGUUGUAAAGCUCUUUUACCCGGGAUGAUAAUGACAGUACCGGGAGAAUAAGCUCCGGCUAACUCCGUG